CAUCGAUGAAGAACGCAGCGAAAUGCGAUAAGUAAUGCGAAUUGCAGAAUUCCAGUGAGUCAUCGAAUCUUUGAACGCACAUUGCGCCCUUUGGUAUUCCGAAGGGCAUGCCUGUUCGAGCGUCAUUAU
rnacentral:rRNA from 1 species